AAAAAAGAGAAAAAGAGCAAUCGGCUGGGAGAAGAAAAAAGGGGAGAAAAAACAAAAGAAAGACCAAGAGAUAAUUUGAGAGAAUUCGGGGAAGAGCCACACAAGACAAAUAGCCGAGAAUGGAAGAGAGGACACAAAGGAAAGCAGCCGCACACAUUAGACGAAUCAGAGGAGAUCGGCCGCACAAAUAAUCACAAAAAGGGAGAGAAGAUUUUCCUUGUCUCCUUGAGAAGGAUUUUAUUUGGGUUUUAAUUUCUCACCAAACCCUAUAUCUGCAUCAUCUUGGAGAUCCGGGUUCACACGAUUUUUGAAAGCUUAAGUUCUCGAUUUUUGUGAUAAACCACGGUUGUCUACAGCAAAAAUUGGAAGAAGGUGGGACUCUUCAACAACAACUCAAAGAGGGUUGGCGGAGAUGGAACUUGGCUUGGGGAUCUUAGAGGCCUCUGAUAGUCUGAUGUGCUUACUUGCUUGGCUUGGGGCUUGGCUUCCUAGAUCUAAAUCAAUUGAAGCAAGAAGCUAGAAGGUGGGACUCUUAAGCUUCCUGGCCCUAAAUCAAUUGAAUCUGAGGGUUGUAGGAGAUGGAGCUUUGCCCAGAGAAGAUGAUUCUCAUUUUUUAGAUUUUUUAAAUUAUUAUUAUUUGAUUUAAUUUAAAUCAGAAAUUAAAAAUGAAAUGUGUCCCCAUUUCAUUAAUCAAUGCCACUAUGUAUGUCAUGUCAAUAAUUAUCAUAAAAUAAAAUAAAUACAUGAUAUACAUAUAAAGGUCAUGUCAGUAUU